rnacentral:rRNA from 1 species
GACGAACGCUGGCGGCGUGCUUAACACAUGCAAGUCGAACGGAAAGGCCCUGCUUUUGUGGGGUGCUCGAGUGGCGAACGGGUGAGUAACACGUGGGUAACCUGCCCUUGACUUUGGGAUAACUUCAGGAAACUGGGGCUAAUACCGGAUAGGAGCUCCUGCUGCAUGGUGGGGGUUGGAAAGUUUCGGCGGUUGGGGAUGGACUCGCGGCUUAUCAGCUUGUUGGUGGGGUAGUGGCUUACCAAGGCUUUGACGGGUAGCCGGCCUGAGAGGGUGACCGGCCACAUUGGGACUGAGAUACGGCCCAGACUCCUACGGGAGGCAGCAGUGGGGAAUAUUGCACAAUGGGCGGAAGCCUGAUGCAGCAACGCCGCGUGCGGGAUGACGGCCUUCGGGUUGUAAACCGCUUUCGCCUGUGACGAAGCGUGAGUGACGGUAAUGGGUAAAGAAGCACCGGCUAACUACGUG